UGUGCAAAGUUUGACCUUCUGUGCUUAGCUUAUUUGACUUACAAUGACCUCCGGUUCUAUCCAUGUUGUUGUAAAUGAUAGGAUCUCAUUCUUUUGUAGCUGAAUAAUACUCCAUUCUGUAUAUAUACCACAAUUUUCUAAAUCCAUUCAUCUUUUGAUGGACACUUAGGUUGCUUCCAAGUCUUGGCUGUCGUGGAUACUGCUGCAGAAAUCAUGGGAGUGCAAAUAUCUCUGGCAUACUGAUUUCCAGUCUUUUGGGUGAAUACCAAGCAAGUGGAAUACUGGAUCAUAAGCACUAUUCACAGCAACAGAUGUGAAAUCAACCUAAGUGUCCAUCAA
rnacentral:lncRNA from 1 species